rnacentral:tRNA from 1 species
AGCAGAGUGGCGCAGCGGAAGCGUGCUGGGCCCAUAACCCAGAGGACGAUGGAUUGAAACCACGCCUCUGCUA